CGACUGUGUAAUUAAAACAAAGCAUUGCGAGGGCCGCUGGUCGGUGCUGACGCAAUGUGAUUUCCUGCCCACUGCUGUAAAAGUCAACGAAAAGAAAUUCAAAAAAGCGCGAGUAAAUGGCGAAAGCAACAAUGACUUGCUUGUUAUGAUUCGGGUGGUUGAUUUGUCGGCGGUUGAUUUGCGGGGUUAACGA
rnacentral:rRNA from 1 species